rnacentral:rRNA from 1 species
UACGGAGGGAGCUAGCGUUGUUCGGAAUUACUGGGCGUAAAGCGCGCGUAGGCGGCUUUGUAAGUUAGAGGUGAAAGCCCGGAGCUCAACUCCGGAACUGCCUUUAAGACUGCAUCGCUUGAAUCCAGGAGAGGUGAGUGGAAUUCCGAGUGUAGAGGUGAAAUUCGUAGAUAUCCGGAGGAACACCGGUGGCGAAGGCGGCUUCCUGGACCGAUACUGACGCUGAGGCGCGAAAGCUAGGGGAGCAAACGGG